UUUUUUUGUCUGAUUUACCCAUUCCUUCUAUUGCUUAUUCAAUGAUUGAGAUUUUUCUCCGUAUCUCUGUUCUCUGGGUGAACUUUGCCUCUGUAGUUCCUUUUUGCAGUCCUAAAUUUUUAUUUCCACUAUUUCCUAAGAUUUAGUUUUCUUUUUUUGCUUCUAUUUCCACUUUUAUGUAUUGAAUAGUUUUGUUUACUUCACCCAUUGGUGUGUUCUUUCUACGCUUUGUUUAUAGGAAUUUUGGCUUCCUCUACUUUUUGGUUUGUGUGUUCCUGGCCUUCUUUAUGGAAUUUAUUGAUUUCCUCUAAUUUUGUUCUGUUUUCCUGGAUUUCUCUAAGUGAUUUGAUCAUUUCCUCUUUAAGGAACUCUGUCAUCUCCAUACAUUUGGGGUUAGAGUGUUUUUCUUGUAAUUUAGCUUUGUUGGAAUAUUUAAGACCUUCUUUGACAAUAUAAAUGAGAUCAGAGUCAUUAGCCAGAGAGUGAUAAAUGCUGGUCCUUAUUACAUUAUCGAGUACCAACGUCAUGGAAUGGAAUGGCGCUAUCUAACCUAAGUAUUCAGCUUAGAUUUAACCCAAUGUUUGAUUAAUCCCAAGGCUGUCCUUUCCCUUUACACUGGACAGGUAGCCAAGUGAGGCACUUUUUGAAACAGUUACUUUUUGUGAGACACCUGUUUUUAAUCACUAACCUUGGGUUAACCAUUU
rnacentral:lncRNA from 1 species